rnacentral:rRNA from 1 species
UACGGAGGGUGCGAGCGUUGUCCGGAAUCACUGGGCGUAAAGGGCGCGUAGGCGGCCUGAUAAGUAGGGGGUGAAAUCCUGCGGCUUAACCGCAGGGCUGCCUUCUAAACUGUCAGGCUUGAGCACAGUAGAGGCAGGUGGAAUUCCCGGUGUAGCGGUGGAAUGCGUAGAGAUCGGGAAGAACAUCAGUGGCGAAGGCGGCCUGCUGGGCUGUUGCUGACGCUGAGGUGCGAAAGCGUGGGGAGCAAACAGG